AUUGAACGCUGGCGGCAGGCCUAACACAUGCAAGUCGAACGAGUGGCGGACGGGUGAGUAAUGUCUGGGAAACUGCCCGAUGGAGGGGGAUAACUAGUGGAAACGGUAGCUAAUACCGCAUACCAUCGGAUGUGCCCAGAUGGGAGUAGCUAGUUGGUGGGGUAACGGCUCACCUAGGCGACGAUCCCUAGCUGGUCUGAGAGGCUGACCAGCCACACUGGAAUGGAGACACGGUCCAGACUCCUACGGUAGGCAGCAGUGGGGAAUAUUGCACAAUGGGCGCAAGCCUGAUGCAGCCAUGCCGCGUGGAUGAAGAAGGCCUUCGGGUUGUAAAGUACUUUCAGCGAGGAGGCGUUACUCGCAGAAGAAGCACCGGCUAACUCCGUGCCAGCAGCCGCGGUAAUAC
rnacentral:rRNA from 1 species